rnacentral:rRNA from 1 species
AUUGAACGCUGGCGGCAUGCCUUACACAUGCAAGUCGAACGGCAGCACGGAGCUUGCUCUGGUGGCGAGUGACGAACGGGUGAGUAAUAUAUCGGAACGUACCCAAGAGUGGGGGAUAACGUAGCGAAAGUUACGCUAAUACCGCAUACGAUCUAAGGAUGAAAGUGGGGGCUCGCAAGACCUCAUGCUCCUGGAGCGGCCGAUAUCUGAUUAGCUAGUUGGUGAGGUAAAGGCUCACCAAGGCAUCGAUCAGUAGCUGGUCUGAGAGGACGACCAGCCACACUGGAACUGAGACACGGUCCAGACUCCUACGGGAGGCAGCAGUGGGGAAUUUUGGACAAUGGGGGCAACCCUGAUCCAGCAAUGCCGCGUGAGUGAAGAAGGCCUUCGGGUUGUAAAGCUCUUUUGUCAGGGAAGAAACGGUGAAGGCUAAUAUCCUUUGCUAAUGACGGUACCUGAAGAAUAAGCACCGGCUAACUACGUGCCAGCCGCCGCCGUAAUAC